rnacentral:rRNA from 1 species
UACGGGGGGGGCAAGCGUUGUUCGGAAUUAUUGGGCGUAAAGGGCGUGUAGGCGGUUUGUUAAGUCUGAUGUGAAAGCCCCGGGCUCAACCUGGGAAGUGCAUUGGAAACUGGCGAACUUGAGUACGGGAGAGGGCAGUGGAAUUCCUAGUGUAGGAGUGAAAUCCGUAGAUAUUAGGAGGAACACCGGUGGCGAAGGCGGCUGCCUGGACCGAUACUGACGCUGAGACGCGAAAGCGUGGGGAGCAAACAGG